UCUGAGAUCAGCCCUGUUUUAGGGUUCCAAGUAAACUCUGAUUUUGUUUCCACUGAUGUCUCAAUUGAUGAAAAAACAGAACUGAAGGAUAAGGUAAUAGCUAAUGAUGUCAAAGUAGAAUUAGAUGUUAAACCUGAGAUGGUGCAGCUAUUCUCGAGCAGUGAUGUCCUCUGGAAAGUCAGGUAUCUGAGAUCAGCCCUGUUUUAGGGUUCCAAGUAAACUCUGAUUUUGUUUCCACUGAUAUCUCAAUUGAUGAAAAAACAGAACUGAAGGAUAAGGUAAUAGCUAAUGAUGUCAAAGUAGAAUUAGAUGUUAAACCUGAGAUGGUUCAGCUAUUCUCGAGCAGUGAUGUCCUUGAUGAUGCAAAAUCGCAAACUAUGGAUGUUGAAGAAUCACAUGACAAGAAAAUGUCUACAGAAGAACCAGGCAAAAACGAUAAAUAUCCUGAAGUUAGUGUU
rnacentral:lncRNA from 1 species